UAAAGCAAAUGAUAGAAGUCUUGGCUAUUGUCUUGACUUAUUUCUAUAAGCUUUGACAAGAGCAUUAAUGGUAGAAGGAUGUCUUUUUAGACUCUUUCCAUUAGCCUUAUAAUUAUAAGUAGUUGUUAGGUUUAACUUCACUCCAUAUAUUUGAAAAAAUCUUUGGCCUUUAUUGUAUCAAAUUUUCCUCAAUCAACCUUCAUCCUUCUAAUGUUGUUAUAUAUAUUAAAGAUAUCCUCAAAAAUGAAUCUGCAUACUCUUUUCAUAAUCUUGAUCCUUAAAGCUCUUCCUAUAAUAUAAUUUGAAAGCCCU
rnacentral:lncRNA from 1 species